CAGCAGUAAUCUUAGAUAUCCAUAAAUUUUCUUCAUUCAGCUAAGAAAAUCAAGCAGAAUUUUGGCAUGUGAACAAAAAAAGAUUAUAUUGACUAGGGCGUUGAGGAUGGAAGAUAACGCAUGUGGAUCUAGAUUUCAUGGUAUUCCACGCAAAAUGCUAAGAUUGGUAUUUAUCACUAUUCAUUUUAUGUAUAUAAAUUAUAUUGAAUAUAUUAAAUAUUAAAUUAUAUUGAAUAUAUGAAUAUAUUAUGAAUGGUGUCGCCGACAUGAAGAGAGGCUCAAAAUGGAA